AGCUGUGGAUGCAAUUCAUCACCUCAUGGACAAGUAGUUACAAGGCAUUUUUGAAAGUCCUGCAUCAAGCAUUUGUUGGCUGCUAUGGAAGGAGGAAUAUCACUUCAGGAGGAAUGCAGUCCUGAAGUAGAAGAGACAAGAGAAACCAUACAUAAGGAUCAGCUGGUUUACUGCUUUUAUAUGUACUGGAGGGGGCUGUAUGGAAACAACUGGAAGAGGAAGAAAUCAAUUACUCAAGCUUCAAGAAGACUUGGAUGUAAAGUGUCCACUUUUAAUCCUCUGCCUGCAGG